rnacentral:rRNA from 1 species
UAACUGAAGAGUUUGAUCAUGGCUCAGAUUGAACGCUGGCGGCAGGCUUAACACAUGCAAGUCGAGCGGGGGAAGGUAGCUUGCUACUGGACCUAGCGGCGGACGGGUGAGUAAUGCUUAGGAAUCUGCCUAUUAGUGGGGGACAACAUCUCGAAAGGGAUGCUAAUACCGCAUACGUCCUACGGGAGAAAGCAGGGGAUCUUCGGACCUUGCGCUAAUAGAUGAGCCUAAGUCGGAUUAGCUAGUUGGUGGGGUAAAGGCCUACCAAGGCGACGAUCUGUAGCGGGUCUGAGAGGAUGAUCCGCCACACUGGGACUGAGACACGGCCCAGACUCCUACGGGAGGCAGCAGUGGGGAAUAUUGGACAAUGGGGGGAACCCUGAUCCAGCCAUGCCGCGUGUGUGAAGAAGGCCUUAUGGUUGUAAAGCACUUUAAGCGAGGAGGAGGCUACUUUAGUUAAUACCUAGAGAUAGUGGACGUUACUCGCAGAAUAAGCACCGGCUAACUCUGUGCCAGCAGCCGCGGUAAUACAGAGGGUGCGAGCGUUAAUCGGAUUUACUGGGCGUAAAGCGUGCGUAGGCGGCUUAUUAAGUCGGAUGUGAAAUCCCCGAGCUUAACUUGGGAAUUGCAUUCGAUACUGGUGAGCUAGAGUAUGGGAGAGGAUGGUAGAAUUCCAGGUGUAGCGGUGAAAUGCGUAGAGAUCUGGAGGAAUACCGAUGGCGAAGGCAGCCAUCUGGCCUAAUACUGACGCUGAGGUACGAAAGCAUGGGGAGCAAACAGGAUUAGAUACCCUGGUAGUCCAUGCCGUAAACGAUGUCUACUAGCCGUUGGGGCCUUUGAGGCUUUAGUGGCGCAGCUAACGCGAUAAGUAGACCGCCUGGGGAGUACGGUCGCAAGACUAAAACUCAAAUGAAUUGACGGGGGCCCGCACAAGCGGUGGAGCAUGUGGUUUAAUUCGAUGCAACGCGAAGAACCUUACCUGGCCUUGACAUACUAGAAACUUUCCAGAGAUGGAUUGGUGCCUUCGGGAAUCUAGAUACAGGUGCUGCAUGGCUGUCGUCAGCUCGUGUCGUGAGAUGUUGGGUUAAGUCCCGCAACGAGCGCAACCCUUUUCCUUACUUGCCAGCAUUUCGGAUGGGAACUUUAAGGAUACUGCCAGUGACAAACUGGAGGAAGGCGGGGACGAC